rnacentral:rRNA from 1 species
UACAGAGGGUGCAAGCGUUGUUCGGAAUUAUUGGGCGUAAAGCGCGUGUAGGCGGCUUUGCAAGUCGGGUGUGAAAUCCCCAGGCUUAACCUGGGAACUGCAUUCGAGACUGCAUUGCUAGAGUAUGGGAGAGGGAAGUGGAAUUUCCGGUGUAGCGGUGAAAUGCGUAGAUAUCGGAAGGAACAUCAGUGGCGAAGGCGGCCAUCUGGACCAGCACUGACACUGAGGCACGAAAGCGUGGGGAGCAAACAGG